CGCCUGUUUAUCAAAAACAUCUCUUCUCGUUAGUUUUUGAAGUAUGGCCUGCCCACUGACCUUGAAUGUUGAAGGGCCGCGGUAUUUUGACCGUGCAAAGGUAGCAUAGUCAUUAGUUCUUUAAUUGUGAUCUGGUAUGAAUGGCUUGACGAGGCAUGAGCUGUCUUAAUUUUGAAUUGUUUAUUGAAUUUGGUCUUUGAGUUAAAAUUCUUAGAUGUUUUUAUGGGACGAGAAGACCCUAUAGAGUUUUACAUUUAUUAUGGUCUCUUUCUGUUUGUGAGGGUUCACUAGGGCUGUUUAAUAUGUUUUGUUGGGGUGAUGGGAGGGAUAUUAUUUAACCCCUCCUUUAUGUUGUUAUAUUUAUUUAUAUUUGCUUGAUCCAUUUAUUUUGAUUGUAAGAUUAAAUUACCUUAGGGAUAACAGCGUAA
rnacentral:rRNA from 1 species